UUUACGGCCUGACGGUGUUGUCCAGUCAAUUUUUGUUGUCUUUGUCGGGCUCGCGCCCGGUUCGGACGACUUUUUACUUUGAAAAAAUUAGAGUGUUCAAAGCAGGCGUUGAUUUUGCUGUGAAUAGAAUUAGCAUGGAAUAAUGGAGCACGACUUUGGCCUGUGUUUUGUUGGUUUUAACUGCCGGAGUAAUGAUUAAUAGGGAUAGAAUUGGGGGCAUUCGUAUUUCGUUGUCAGAGGUGAAAUUCUUAGAUUUACGAAAGACGGACGACUGCGAAAGCAUUUGCCAAGGAUGUUUUCAUUAAUCAAGAACGAAAGUUGAGGGAGCGAAGAUGAUUAGAUACCGUCGUAGUCUCAACUAUAAACAUUACCGACCAGGAAUCGGAGGCUGUUGUUUUGAUGACGCUUCCGGCACCUUUGGAGAAAUCAGAGUGUUUGGGUUCUGGGGGGAGUAUGGUCGCAAGACUGAAACUUAAAAGAAUUGACGGAAGGGCACACCAGAAGUGGAGCCUGCGGCUUAAUCUGACCCAACACGGAGAAACUCACCAGGUCCGGACAUAGUGAGGAUUGACAGAUUGAUAGCUCUUUCUUGAUUCUAUGGGUGGUGGUGCAUGGCCGUUCUUAGUUGGUGGAGUGAUUUGUCUGGUUUAUUCCGUUAACGAACGAGAUCUCAGCCUGCUAAAUAGCAACGACAUUGUGAAAUGGCGGCUUGCUUCUUAGAGGGACUUUUUGCGUCUAGCGAAAGGAAGUUUGAGGCGAUAACAGGUCUGUGAUGCCCCUCGAUGUUCUGGGCCGCACGCGCGCUACACUGGCGAAUGCAGCGAGUGGAUUGAGGUUUCACAUGAUUUCGUCGGAUGAAAGUCUGGCGGGGUUGUGGGGGGCCUUUGUUGACCUUGCCCGAAAGGGCUGGGUAAUCCCUCAACAUUCGCCGUGACGGGGAUUGACUAUUGUAAUUAUUAGUCAUGAACGAGGAAUUUCUAGUAGGCGCAGGUCACAAGCCUGCGCCGAUUGCGUCCCUGCCCUUUGUACACACCGCCCGUCGCUCCUACCGAUUGAAUGCUCCGGUGAAAUCUUGGGAUCAGCCCGCCGUGGCCUCUCGGGGUCUUUGGCGGGCAGAGAACUUGCUUAAACCUUAGCAUUUAGAGGGAGGAGAAGUCGUAACAAGGUUUCCGUAGGUGAACCUGCGGAAG
rnacentral:rRNA from 1 species